rnacentral:misc_RNA from 1 species
AAUAGAGGAAAAAAAAAAAUCUGGGUUGAUUUUAGUUUAGAAAAUCAUGUUAUAUUUAAGUUUGUAAGUCGUAACUUAUUCCUUGUUUUCAUGAGGAAUAUGCGCUCUGUAAAUUGAAUCCAACUCAAACUUUAACACUGCUGUAAUACAUAGACAUAGAAUUGCACAAGGAUUUAUAAUUCACCAGAUAAAAGUACAGAUUCCUCAUCACUUGACACACAAAAAAAUAAAAAAUAAAAUCUCAAAUGAAGAGAAUGUCGAGCACUAGCAUCAAAAUUGCCAUCGGUUAUAUAAACACCUUGCCUUUGCUCGUUGGAUUUGCAG